AUGACUGAUCUCCUUCAAGGGUUUCCAUAUUGCAUAACUACUACCCGUGAAAGAACAGACAUGUGUGGAGCCUUGAAGGAGUGCUUCAGAUCAUCAAAGUUCCAAGUGGAUUCCUUCAGAAAAUCGCUGGUGAAAUACAAUUGUGUAGCACUUAGCAAUUCUCUUGAAAGAAAUGAUGGAAAUGGGCAGACCCGGAGCAGCACGUGGACUCUCAGGCGCCAUGCAGUCGCCGGCCUCCUGGCGUCCCCCAGCCCGGCCCAGGCCCAGACCCUUACCCGGGCUCCGCGGCCGGCAGAGUUGGCCCUGCUCUGAGGCCGCCGGAGCCUGCGUACUGGCAUCGAUGCAACCUGCACACCCCACCACGCCAGUUCGAACCUCCGUGGCCUCAACCAGAUUCGGAAUGUCAAAAAACAGAGUGUCUAUUUGAUGAAUUUGAGGAAAUCAGGAACUUUGGGCCACUUAGGCUCUCUAGAUGACACCACCUAUGAAAGACUAGCAGAGGAAACGCUGGACUCUUUAGCAGAGUUUUUUGAAGACCUUGCAGACAAGCCAUACACCUUUGAGGACUAUGAUGUUUCCUUUGGGAGUGGUGUCUUAACUGUUAAACGGGGUGGAGAUCUAGGAACCUACGUGAUCAACAAGCAGACGCCAAACAAGCAAAUCUGGUUAUCUUCUCCAUCCAGAUGUUAUAUGGAGUUGCUGGAGUAUGAGAAGAGCUUCUUCAUCCGGAUAGCUUUCAAGUACAGGAACACAACAAAGAAGCACCGAAGCCAGUUAGAAAAUUAUGGCAACCAGUGUGACUGCCAUGGAAAGGCCCUUCCCACAUUUGGCACAUUUUCCAGGUCCAAGAGGGUUUUCAUCAGUGAAAGGGCUGCUGCUGAACAAUGA